UCUCUGUUGAUCUGAUAAAUA
rnacentral:miRNA from 1 species